rnacentral:rRNA from 1 species
UACGUAGGGGGCAAGCGUUGUCCGGAUUUAUUGGGCGUAAAGGGCGCGUAGGCGGCCACCGCAAGUCGAUUGUGAAAUCUCCGGGCUUAACCCGGAAAGGUCAACCGAUACUGCGGGGCUAGAGUGCGGAAGGGGCAACUGGAAUUCUUGGUGUAGCGGUGAAAUGCGUAGAUAUCAAGAGGAACACCGGUGGCGAAGGCGGGUCUCUGGGCCGAUACUGACGCUGAGGAGCGAAAGCGUGGGGAGCGAACAGG